rnacentral:SRP_RNA from 1 species
GCUUGGAGUUGUGGCGUGCUCCUGUAAUCCAGCUACUCGCAGGCUUGGUUGGUUGGCCAGUUUGAGGAUGUGAGUCCUAGUAGUCGGUCUUCUAUAGCGAUCGGGUAUCCACGCUAAGCUCGGCAUCAAUAUGGUGUUGGCGUACGAGCUCAUCAGGACCAGGUUGUCUAAGGAAGGUCACUUCGGCCCAAGGUAGAAACUCAGCAGGGAAAAGACUCUGUGUCGAGCAGUAGCGGGGUCGCGACUGUGAAUAGUCGUCGGCUGGCAACCUGUUCGAUAUAAUGGAACUCCAACCCUU